rnacentral:rRNA from 1 species
UACGGGGGGAGCAAGCGUUGUUCGGAUUUACUGGGCGUUAAAGGGCGCGUAGGCGGCCACCGGCAAGUCGGUUGUGAAAUCUCCGGGCUUACCCGGAAAGGUCAAUCGAUACUGCGGGGCUAGAGUGCAGAAGGGGCAACUGGAAUUCUCGGUGUAGCGGUGAAAUGCGUAGGAUAUCGAGAGGAACACCUGCGGCGAAGGCGGGUUCGCUGGGCUGACACGAUGACGCUGAACGCGCGAAGCUAGGGGAGCGAACGG